AGGCCUACGGGAGGCAGCAGUGGGGAAUUUUGGACAAUGGGCGCAAGCCUGAUCCAGCCAUGCCGCGUGAGUGAAGAAGGCCUUCGGGUUGUAAAGCUCUUUCGGACGGGAAGAAAUCGCAUGGGUUAAUACCCUGUGCGGAUGACGGUACCGUAAUAAGAAGCACCGGCUAACUACGUGCCAGCAGCCGCGGUAAUACGUAGGGUGCGAGCGUUAAUCGGAAUUACUGGGCGUAAAGCGUGCGCAGGCGGUUUUGUAAGACAGGCGUGAAAUCCCCGGGCUCAACCUGGGAACUGCGCUUGUGACUGCAAGGCUAGAGUAUGGCAGAGGGGGGUGGAAUUCCACGUGUAGCAGUGAAAUGCGUAGAGAUGUGGAGGAACACCGAUGGCGAAGGCAGCCCCCUGGGCCAAUACUGACGCUCAUGCACGAAAGCGUGGGUAGCAAACAGGAUUAGAUACCCGGGUAGUCCAA
rnacentral:rRNA from 1 species